GGUGCUGUGGCUCAGUGGUAGAGCGCUUCCCUAGCAUGUAUGAGGCCCUGGGUUCGAUUCUCAGCACCACCU
rnacentral:tRNA from 1 species